UCUCCUGUAGCUCAGUGGUAGAAGCGUUCGACCGGUGUGCGUAAGAUCAUAGGUUUCAACUCCUGUUAUGAGAA